UACGUAGGGUGCAAGCGUUAAUCGGAAUUACUGGGCGUAAAGCGUGCGCAGGCGGUUAUGCAAGACAGAUGUGAAAUCCCCGGGCUCAACCUGGGAACUGCAUUUGUGACUGCAUGGCUGGAGUGCGGCAGAGGGGGAUGGAAUUCCGCGUGUAGCAGUGAAAUUCGUAGAUAUUGGGAAGAACACCGAUGGCGAAGGCAGCCAUCUGGACCGACACUGACGCUCAUGCACGAAAGCGUGGGGAGCAAACAGG
rnacentral:rRNA from 1 species